rnacentral:rRNA from 1 species
GACGGAGGGUGCAAGUGUUAUUCGGAAUCACUGGGCGUAAAGCGUUUGUAGGUGGCCAAAUAAGUCAACUGUUAAAUCUUGAGGCUCAACCUCAAAAUCGCAGUCGAAACUAUUAGACUAGAGUAUAGUAGGGGUAAAGGGAAUUUCCAGUGGAGCGGUGAAAUGCGUAGAUAUUGGAAAGAACACCGAUGGCGAAGGCACUUUACUGGGCUAUUACUAACACUCAGAGACGAAAGCCAGGGUAGCAAAUGGG